rnacentral:tRNA from 1 species
GCUGAGGAGGCAGUGCGGUUAACUGCAGCACUCUGUAAAAGUGCCGCCUGAAGGCUACGGAGGUUCGAUCCCUCCCCUCAGCA